GUACACUCCUGCGGGAGGCAGCAGUGGGGAAUUUUGCACAAUGGGCGAAAGCCUGAUCCAGCAAUGCCGCGUGAGUGAAGAAGGCCUUCGGGUUGUAAAGCUCUUUUGUCAGGGAAGAAACGGUGAAAGCUAAUAUCUUUUGCUAAUGACGGUACCUGAAGAAUAAGCACCGGCUAACUACGUGCCAGCAGCCGCGGUAAUACGUAGGGUGCAAGCGUUAAUCGGAAUUACUGGGCGUAAAGCGUGCGCAGGCGGUUUUGUAAGUCUGAUGUGAAAUCCCCGGGCUCAACCUGGGAAUUGCAUUGGAGACUGCAAGGCUAGAAUCUGGCAGAGGGGGGUAGAAUUCCACGUGUAGCAGUGAAAUGCGUAGAUAUGUGGAGGAACACCGAUGGCGAAGGCAGCCCCCUGGGUCAAGAUUGACGCUCAUGCACGAAAGCGUGGGGAGCAAACAGGAUUAGAAACCCGGGUAGUCC
rnacentral:rRNA from 1 species